ACCAAAUGCCACUGAGUAAUUUCGAAAUUCACCAAAUGCCACCGAGUUUUAGUAUAAUAUCACCAAAUGUCAUUUUCAUUAGUUGACCGUCACUGUCCGUUAAUUGACCGUUAGUUGACCCCACCACUUUCCAAGUGUCACCUUCUGAUUGGCCCGUUUUAAAAAAAAAUAAUUAAACAGAAAAAUUAAAAAAAAAAACAAAAAAAAAAUACUACGUAAGAAAAAUAAUAUAAUAAAAAAAACCCAAACAACCACCCUCCCUUUCCUCCAUAACUUCCGACCAACACCACAACAGCCACCCCCCUCAACGCCAUCACCAGCGACCCCCAUCCUGAACACACCACCAACACGACCCACUACUAGCCCAUAACCCACAAUCGGCCACCCCCCUGCUGCCCUCGCCCCUUCCCGGCACCCCAUCUCCUUCCUCGCCCUUUCUUCCCCAUUCCCUCAUCGUCAAGCUCCACCUGCCCCACUAGCCACCCUUCUUUAAAAAUCACUAAUUCCAGGCUUAAUCCCUAAAUCUCAAAAAACCCAGAAAAAUUAAAUCAAAAAAGUGAUAAACAUGGGAAAUGGGUAUUGAUUAAAAUGCGGAAAAAUGAAGUGGGGUUACCGGAUAAAUAGCCGACGGUGACAGAAAUGCCGGUAAUAGUGACGAAACGGAGGUAAUCGAGGAAAACGUCGGUAAUAGCCUGAAAUUGCUGAGAUUUGGUUCACGCUCUGGCCAUUGAUGCGAAUGGUGCGAGAUUGGUGGAGGAAAUAAUCUCGGCGGUGAUUUUUGGGGUCGAGGCUGGCUGUGUGGGUGGUUUUGGGGGUCGGCGGUGGGUCAGGUGGGGUGCUAAAGGGCAGGCCGGCCGAUUUUUGUUGGUUACGAAGGUGGUCGGCCGUUUUCCGGCAGGGUAAGGGGAGGGGCAGGGUUUCGGGGUGGUGGCUAGGGUGGUUUUAAUGGUUUCUGUUUUUUUUUUUUUUUUUAAAAAAAAAAUUUGGUUUGUUUUUAAUUUAUUUGUUUAUUUUUUUUUAUACGGACUAAUUAGAAGGUGACACGGGGCAAGUGGUGGGGUCAACUAACGGUUGUCAGUCAUUAAUGACACUCAGUAAAUUAUACUAAAACUCGGUGACAUUUGGUGUGACAUUUGGUGAAAUAGCUGUAAAAUCACUAGUUUGCAAGUAUGUACUUAUUUGUUAACAGAUUAAAAUUUGCCAACUAAUCUCCUCUCCUCUUUUCCCCUCUUUCUCUCUCCUCCUUCAUUCCCCACCACCACCCACCCACCCACCCACCAUUAUCGCACACCUCAAGAUUAUCUCUCCUUUUCUUCUUCAAAUGUUCCCUUUUCCCAAGAAUUUCCCAAACCCCUAACUUUCCCAGAUUACUGCUGUUUCAAUUUCGGAAAUUAGGGUUUUGAUCUUCUUCUAUUUUUCACAUUUCAAUCAAUGUCGCAGCUCAAAGCAAUUGGUCACAUGGCGGAUGAUAUCCCAUCAACCCCAGGAAAAUUCAAGCCUGAAAAAUCAUCGAUUUACUUCAAUAGAAUCCGAUGGUACUCUUCUCUCUCUAAACUUACCCUUUGGUCUUUCCUCUUUCUCUCUCUUCUUCUCUUCCUCUUCUUCGCUUCCCCUCGAUUUGAUUCUUCCCACCGACACGGGGAUAAUUUCCAGGCCGUUUCGAAAACCACCGCCACCGCCGCCACUUGGGGUGGUCACUAUUGGGAGCGCCGUGUUCGGCAAUCUGCACGGGUCAAACAGGGCACACACGGGUUGACCGUGCUCGUAACUGGCGCAUCUGGGUUUGUUGGGACCCAUGUAUCAAUGGCGUUGCGAAGGAGAGGAGAUGGUGUUCUGGGUCUUGAUAAUUUCAAUGAUUACUACGACCCUUCUUUGAAAAGAUCUCGUCAGAAGCUUCUAGAACGUGCUGGAAUCUUCGUGGUUGAAGGGGAUAUCAAUGAUCGAGAUCUUUUGACGAAAUUGUUUGAUGUCGUUGCGUUUACCCAUGUGAUGCAUCUUGCUGCUCAAGCUGGGGUAAGGUAUGCAAUGGAGAACCCUAAAUCUUAUGUUAAUAGUAAUAUUGCUGGACUUGUUAAUUUGUUGGAAGUUUGUAAAUCUGCGAAUCCACAACCUUCGAUUGUUUGGGCUUCUAGUAGUUCUGUUUAUGGAUUGAAUUCGAAAGUUCCGUUUUCGGAGAAAGAUCGAACUGAUCAACCUGCUAGUUUGUAUGCUGCUACUAAGAAGGCUGGGGAGGAAAUUACUCAUACUUAUAAUCAUAUAUAUGGGUUGUCGAUUACCGGGUUGCGGUUCUUUACGGUUUAUGGACCUUGGGGUAGGCCUGAUAUGGCGUAUUUCUUCUUUGCUAAGGAUAUGUUGAAAGGGAAGCAGAUUAAGGUGUUUGAGGGACCGAAUCAUUCGACUGUUGCUAGGGAUUUUACCUACAUUGAUGAUAUUGUGAAGGGGUGUUUAGGGGCGUUGGAUACGGCCAAGAAGAGUACCGGGACUGGUGGGAAGAAGAAGGGGCCGGCGCAGUUUAGGGUCUUUAAUUUGGGGAAUACUUCGCCUGUUAGUGUUACUGAGUUGGUCAGUAUAUUGGAGAAGCUGCUUAAGGUUAAGGCUAAUAAGAAGAUUUUGCCGCUGCCUAGGAAUGGGGAUGUCCCAUUCACGCACGCAAAUAUCACAUUGGCUCAGAAGGAGCUCAAUUAUAAGCCUUCGACUGAUUUGCAGACGGGGUUGAAGAAGUUUGUUAGAUGGUAUUCGAGUUACUACUCAGACUCGAAGAAGAAGAGUGGCUCUGUUUGGUAAAAUUGGAGGUGGUGUGAUGUUUGAGGAGAUAUCGCGCUAGAAGUGUGCUUUCUGGCAAUCUGCUGAAAUUGGAGGGUUUUUGUUCCAUGUUUUCUGUCUGCAGAAGCGUACCUCGAUUGGAGUAUCUGUGGAGUUGUGAGCUGAUUCACCGAGUCUUGCCUGCUGCUGCUAUAUCCUUGUGGUUCAAGGACUUCAACGAUUGCAGACCGGUGAAUGGGUUUUAUUUGCUUCUUGUGACAUGAUUUGCUGAUAAAACUCUAAUUUGAUGUCAAGUUGCAAUACGCUCACAUUAUGUAAUAAGGGCUGCCUUGAAAUUCAUACAUGUGCUUUAGCAGUUGUAUUGCAAAUGUUUCAGGUGCGACUAAUUUUUUUUAAUUUUAAAUCUGAAAGUUGAAAAUACAUUAGUGCAUUGCAUAGCAGGUUCUACCAGACUACAUGUUGAUUGAAUGCUUUACAUUUCAAGUGUAACAUGUUUAUGAAAUUAGUGGCUUUCUUUAA